rnacentral:rRNA from 1 species
GUGGGGAAUAUUGGACAAUGGGCGCAAGCCUGAUCCAGCCAUGCCGCGUGAGUGAUGAAGGCCUUAGGGUUGUAAAGCUCUUUCGUCAGGGAAGAUAAUGACGGUACCUGAAGAAGAAGCCCCGGCUAACUUCGUGCCAGCAGCCGCGGUAAUACGAAGGGGGCUAGCGUUGCUCGGAAUCACUGGGCGUAAAGCGCACGUAGGCGGUUUUCUAAGUCAGGGGUGAAAUCCUGGAGCUCAACUCCAGAACUGCCUUUGAUACUGGAGAGCUUGAGUUCGGGAGAGGUGAGUGGAACUGCGAGUGUAGAGGUGAAAUUCGUAGAUAUUCGGAAGAACACCAGUGGCGAAGGCGACUCACUGGCCCAAUACUGACGCUGAGGCGCGAAAGCGUGGGGAGCAAACAGGAUUAGAUACCCCAGUAGUCC